rnacentral:lncRNA from 1 species
CUGCAGUUCUGAAACAGGCUCCAUCCUGGAAGCUGGAGUCACGUGGAGUUGUAAUGGCUGGCCCAUUUGGAGCCAGUUCCAGGGACCCCAUCUCUUAUCAACAAAGUGACUGAGGAUUGUCUUUAAGAAAAACUGCCAAGUCACCUCCCCAGAGCAUGUGUAGAAGAAGAAAUUGUGACCUGAAACGGCCUCGGGACUAAAGAUCCACCUCCCCACAGAACCCAAGGGCCAGGACACAACCAGAACUUGAAAGGUGCACUCUUAUCAGAAGCAGGGGAUCCCUCAUUCAGGAAGAUCUGGUGUCAAAAUUCUUUCCCAAAUGUUUAAAACCCUCCAAUCAAAACCUGUCCUACCGGCAUUCCCAGGUGUCAGUCUGUUCUCCCUAACCUCUUACACGUCACCCCCAAAUCCUGGCUUGGACAGACGGAUCUGAGGGCCCACACUUCCUGUCUCCAUGCAGAUGCAUCUGGCAGUAUAAAAGCUGAUUCCCCCCAAGGCUGACGCCAUAGUCAAUCGGCUUGUUUAUCCACGUCAGGCAGAGAACCCCAGCUUCCUGCGGUAACAGACUAAAGUAGACAAAGUCAUCUCUCACAUUUUAGGGGAGAGAAGUAGUCUGGUAGUGACGUGUUGAGUGCAACCAGCUUCACCCCAGGAACUAUCCCUGUCGGCGUCUACUCUCCCUCCACUGGCCAGAGCAAGUGCAUGACCGGUCCUAACAUCAAGGGCAUCAGAAGUGCAACCCUACCUCGUACCUAGAAGGAGAAAUGGAAAUGUCACUGAACAGCUCAGAAACUCAGGGAUGUUGAGGACUUUGCUGAAAGUUGCCCAGAUGUUACAUGGCAUACCUGGCAUUUGAAGUCAGGUCUUUUCACCAUUAAGGCCCUGCUCCUUUCAUAAGCCAUGCUACCCCCUGCGAUGGAAAACAAACAUAACAAGUUAGAUCCAGCAAUGACACCAGUUAAAGAGAGGCCAAGUGAUUGAGUGCAGAGACACUGAAAUGUUUUUGGUAUUGAUACGGGCAACCAGUGUCCCAGUCACAAAACGCCCGAUACGAGGAGCCAGAGGAGCACGUCCAACCCUGCGGUUCUUUGAUGGAUCAGGAUACCCG